rnacentral:misc_RNA from 1 species
ACAGAGAUCUUGGAGCUAAUGCACUUGUUCUAGGGCCAAUGGAACAAAGUCAACUGGCAAGGUUCUACAAUGCGUCAACGCCAGAGCCAUUUUUGUGAACCCAACUGUUGGAGCUCAUGGAUUGGAUCAUACUUUGUUGGAAGCAAUGCUUUCUGGUUUGCCUGUGAUGGCUACGAGGGUAGCCUGCAUCACAGGAGCUGCGAUUAUUGGCAAAGAAAUGGUCUUUAUCUUUUCAACAACAGUACUUUCAUUGAAGAAUG